ACUUGAUGACUAGAAGAAAAAAAAAAAAGGUGACAUAGAGGAUGUUUGCUUUUCCUUCAAUUCCCAUAACAUUUUCUGUUGUCUAUAAUUUUAGUGACAUUUCAUCCAACCAACAGCUGUAGAAAUCUAGUGAUUCUCUUACCUUGUACUCUGGGACUGUAUAUCCUGCACCCUGCAUUUAUAGUGUAGUCUAAUUGUUAAAUCAAUUCUCAAUUAAAGCACACUGGUUUAUAAUCAUUAUUUUCAUUAUUAUUAAAAAUAUAAUAAUUAAGCAAAAAAGAAUUGCUUAUACCUUUAUGGUUAGAAAGGUGAAGUUGUAAUCAUAUCCUUGCAAGUACCUACAAGAGAAAUGAUAGCAUUUUAAAAGGUCAUUGAGUACAAAAAUAAAAAUAGAUAAAGAUUCUUAAGCAUUGUAGUAUGGAACCAAUUAGUUUUAGUUCUCAACUCAAUUUUAGGACUGAGUUCUCGAGUUAAGGCACAGUAGCAGCAAAAAAAAAAAUUGUAAAGGAGAUGGAGGGUUUACCAGCAACUUGAUCAUUAGAAAUCCAUAACCUCCAUUCAUCAACAAUCUUAUAUCAAAGAGAUCAAGUCCAUGUCUGAAUUCAAGCGAAAGGCACACGCAUAUCAUGGUUUCCACCACAGGUCAUUUGCAGUGUUAGAAAUUUUCAUUUUGUGGAAGAGAAUCACAGCUGAUCGAAAUUAAAAAUGAUAUUUGAAGAAGUUAGUUAAAUUACAUAUUUAUUAUAUUUGAAAAAGGUAAUUACCGAGUUGCGCUCCAAGACACACUUGAAUGGUCGAGAUAUAACAACUUUAGUUUGCUGAUCCCUCAUUGCGCACCUUUAAAAGCCUGAGAAUGAGAUCAUUAUUCCGCAAUAAAUGUACUACCAAUUCUGUGGUAGCAGCAUCAGCAGAGAACCACUUAUCAACCAUUUCGUUGAUUAGUUCUGAUGCUUUUGGUAAAUCCUCAUGCUUGAGAAACCCUUGAAUGAUGAUAUUAUAACAACAAUUAUUUGGUAAACAUCCUACCUUUUCCAUGUCUUUAAAUACCUUGUACACUUCAUCCAUUAAUCCUUGUUGGCAGAGUCCUUUCAUAAUUGCAUUAUAUACAUAAAAAUCAGGCUGUAAACCAAUUUCAAAAAGACUAGAAAAAAGUUCCUUGGCAUCAUUAAUCUUCCCAACUUUGCACAUACCAUUGAUCAGACUGCUAUAGAUCACAAAAUUAGGCUUCAACUGACUUUUCUCCAUUUCUUUCAAUAGUGUGAGUGCCUCAUCGAGAUUCCCCUGUCUACACAAGCCAUCAAUCAUAAUUGAGAAGGUUACUAUGUUUGGCUGUUGACCAUGAGAGGACAUAUUCUUCAAGAGCUCCUGUGCAGUUUGGGGCCUCCCUGCUUGAAACAUACCCUCUAUAAGAGUAGAAUAAGUAACAACAUCAGGAACUAAACAUUUAUGAGACAUUUCAUCAAAAAGUUCCUUUGCAUCAUCUAUCAUUUUGCACUUACAAUAUCCAUUGAUCAAUAUGUUGUAGCUAAAAAUGUCAGCUAUUUCACUGGUCACCAUCAGAUCAAAUACCUUUCCAGCCUUAUCAAUUUGCUUGCACAGACAAUAUCCAUCCAUCAAUGAAUUAUAAGUGACAACAUUAGGUUCCACACCUCUUUGAAUCAUUAUUUUGAUUAUAUUCUGUGCAAUUGAAACCAGUCCUUUCUUACAAAGAGUGUCGAUCAAUAUAUUGAAGGUAAAAACAUCAAGGGAUAUGUUCCUCCCUGUUGAAUCCCACAUCGGUUAUGAAAAGGGGUAAUGUGCCCCUUAUAUGGGUCACAGGCACUCCUCCCCCUUGAGCUAGCUUUUGAGAUGAGUUAGGACUGACCCAAAUUUAACACUCCCCACCAUUUCUUUCAACAAGGCCAAAGCUUCCUUGAAUCGGUCUGAAUUGCAAAGACCAUCAAUUAAGGAAUUGUAGGUGACCACAUCAGGCUCUACACCUCUUUGAAUCAUUAUAUUGAAUGUAUUUUGAGCCUCUGAAACCAUUCCAUCCUUACAAAGAGCAUCAAUCAAUACACUGAAGGUAUAAACAUUAGGUGAUAUGUUCUGCUCCACCAUUUCAUUCAUCAAGGCCAAAGCUUGGUUCUUUUGGCCUAAUUUGCAAAUACCAUGAAUUAAACUAGUGUAAGUGAUGACAUUAGCUGAAAUGCCCUUAUUCCUCAUUUGAGAGAAGAGCUCUAAAGCCUCACCAACUAGCUCAUCCUUGCAAAGGGCGUCAAUGAUUNNNNNNNNNNNNNNNNNNNNNNNNNNNNNNNNNNNNNNNNNNNNNNNNNNNNNNNNNNNNNNNNNNNNNNNNNNNNNNNNNNNNNNNNNNNNNNNNNNNNNNNNNNNNNNNNNNNNNNNNNNNNNNNNNNNNNNNNNNNNNNNNNNNNNNNNNNNNNNNNNNNNNNNNNNNNNNNNNNNNNNNNNNNNNNNNNNNNNNNNNNNNNNNNNNNNNNNNNNNNNNNNNNNNNNNNNNNNNNNNNNNNNNNNNNNNNNNNNNNNNNNNNNNNNNNNNNNNNNNNNNNNNNNNNNNNNNNNNNNNNNNNNNNNNNNNNNNNNNNNNNNNNNNNNNNNNNNNNNNNNNNNNNNNNNNNNNNNNNNNNNNNNNNNNNNNNNNNNNNNNNNNNNNNNNNNNNNNNNNNNNNNNNNNNNNNNNNNNNNNNNNNNNNNNNNNNNNNNNNNNNNNNNNNNNNNNNNNNNNNNNNNNNNNNNNNNNNNNNNNNNNNNNNNNNNNNNNNNNNNNNNNNNNNNNNNNNNNNNNNNNNNNNNNNNNNNNNNNNNNNNNNNNNNNNNNNNNNNNNNNNNNNNNNNNNNNNNNNNNNNNNNNNNNNNNNNNNNNNNNNNNNNNNNNNNNNNNNNNNNNNNNNNNNNNNNNNNNNNNNNNNNNNNNNNNNNNNNNNNNNUGGUGAAUAGCCUUUAAGGAUUCUGAUGCUACUAGCUUAGAGUAUGAAGUCGCUCUGUCUCACAUUAAAGGGUUAGCCUCUGAUUAUAUAUUACUAACCUUUCUUUCUUAUCUUUGGGGUUGUUAACAAAACAGCGAGAUUUCUCUUCUCGAUGGUUUGCUUUUCCCUUGCCCCAGCUCGGGCUUCCAUGCCGAGCUCUCGAGGUUCCGAAUCUUCAAGGCUGUACACCUGUGUCGAGUCAGUCUCAAUUGUUUCAAUUGUUCGAACUUUUAGGUCCUCUCGGACUUUGAAGUCGAUCGCGAAUUUCAGGUCAACAGGAUCAAAGUUUGCUCUAUCUCCUGAUGAUGUCUUUCCGUAUGUGUUUUACGAUGUUGAAAGUUCCACUUGUUCCAUUGCUCUUCAGAAUGUUUCGCUAAUUUUCUGGUGUUGCCUUCACUUGUUCCAUUGCCCUUCAGAAUGCCUUGCUGGUUUUUUGUUGGUGCUUCGGGCAGGUGAACGGGUAAUGAUGCCGAUCUCCCUGGGACUUUAACUCGAAGACUUAUGUUUUUCAUGAGAUCGGCAUAUAAUAUCUGAGCUCGUUCGUAUGUAUCGCAAAUCACAUCUCGAGGCGGAGCUUAGUUGGUUUACGAAGUCGAUUUUCCGAACUAUAAGAAUUCCUCGGAAUCGAAGGCUAAGGUAGUAGGGUAGGCGAUAGUGAUGUAAACGUAGAUGAUGAUGUAUCUGGGCGUGUAAAUCCUUUAAGGAUAGCCUUUUAUCCCGUAGUGUUGGUAUUUGUGACAUGCUGUAAUGUGUUUUUCUUUUAAUGAAAUUUUUAUUUUGCGUUCAUACUCGAACUGUCCUUUCUUUAUCAUAAAUAAAGUACUUAAAUUGCUUGCUCUGUAACUUUUCCCGAAGGAUCUGCUGUAUUGCUUUCUCCUUCUUGCCCUUUUAAUCGUUCAAAGCUAGAGUUCAUUCAGUCAACUGAGCUUUUGACUUACUUUUUUCUGAGCUGGACUAGUCGUACUCGUGAGCUCUGUUUUAAUCCUCUGAGCCGAGCUCUUGACCUUCUUAGGUAAUAAGCAGGGCUGGUCUUUAUCGUGCUUUCAUCUGCUUGUGUCUUUGAGCUUUUUAUUUGAGCUGGAUCAGUCGUAACCCUGAGCUCUGCUUUUACCCUAUGAGCCAAGCUUCCGACCUACUUAGGUAAUGAACAAGGCUGAUCUCUAUCACCGGGUGAGAGGUCCAAGUGGAGCCUGGUCUUACGGUUUGAGCGAGUUGGAUUUGUUCUAUGCAGAUGGCAUGUGGGCUUUCGGGCCUGUCCGUCAAUUGCUUUCGGGCGAUGGGCUAUUGCCGUGGGCCCAACCCUUAAUAGAGGUGGCGAAGUCCAGCGGCCGUCGGUUAUUGCCCCUUUACCUUCGAUUAUUGUCCCUUUACCUUCGCGUCAGUUAUUGUAUAACUGAUGAGGGGGUAAACUUCGAGAGUAAUUAAUGACCGCGCCGCUCCAAGACAAAAUUGUUCAGAGUGACAUUGCGUUUCAUUAUUGCCUCUUUGUCUCUCGAAGAAACUUGUUCUCGUCUGCUCUCUGUUUUCCUUCGACUUCUUCUGCCUCCUCGACCUUAUUGCUUUUCAGGUACGCUCUUUUACUCUUCCAUGGAGGAUUCUAAACUUCCCGAUGUUGUCAAUCUCGAGUCGCACAUUACUCCUUCCUCCAUAACCAAGCAUAUUUCUCGGAGUUAUUUAGAUACUCCUCUUUACCUUAUUCGCGCUCCUCUCCGGAAUGAAAGGAUAGUUCUCCCUAAACCUGCCCCUCCUGGUUUGGUAGAUCCCCAGAGGGGUCUUCGCAUAGUCUUCUUUCUUAAACAGAGGGAUUUUGGUCUGACUUUCCCCUUCACCCCUUUCUUCAUCGAGGUUUUUCAAUAUUUUGGGAUAACCCCCCGGAUGUUGUCCCCGAACUCCAUUUUGUUUAUGGCUUGUUUUGAAUCUAUUUGCCUGAGUUGGGGUUUUACACCCACAGCGUGUCUAUUUGUCACUUUCUUCCGCCUUGUUAGGGCAACUCAGAAAUUUUACUAUUUUUCUCCCCGUGGUGGAUUGUCUCUUUUCACGGGCUACAAGGAUUCAAUAAAGGGAUGGGUAGAGAAUUUCCUUGUGGCGGAGCUAAGAAAAGAUGUCGGCGUGUCAUGGGGAGUGGGGCUAGACUGGGAGGAUGUCCCCCCGGGCAUCAACGACCUGCCCCAACUAAGUCUCACCGAGCAGGUGGGGUAUCUCCGACUGACUUCUUCGACAAGAAGUAUGACGUCGAGAGAUGUAUGUUCGCGUCUAAUCUUAGGAAUAUCCGGGACACGGGUAUAAUGCCUUGUUUAGCAACUCCGCUUUUCUUCGUAAGUGACAUUAGAAAGUACGCUAACUCUUUCUGACUUUGUGUUUUUUGGCAGCUUCUAACGUUAAAAUGGAUGAGAUCAAGCCCCCGAAGAACUUAGUUCUGUCUAGGGAGAGUAUGAACGCUGCUUUAGAUGCCCUCCUGGCUGGGCGCCCCGUGCCUGAGGUCGCUGCAGAGGUGGCUCGGGUUGUUUCUACCAAGAAGGUUAGCCGGUCUCUUGCUAGAGCUCCUUCUCGGGCUCCAAAGUCGAGCUCCCAUGGUGCCAGACCCUCUCGAUCAUCUCGUCAGGGUAGGUCGGACCCUGCCUUGAAACCUGUUCAGGAGGCUAAAUCUGGUCAGGGUUCUACAGAGGAUGCGGAAGGAGCUCCCCUAACUGUUGUGAAGCAGGCCAGGGAUAUUGGACAGAUGAGGACGGAUCUUGCUCUUUCUGCUGAGGAGGCACCAGGGGGGAGGCUUGAAUCCCCUAUUAUUGAAGAGGGGGAUCCUGGAGCAGGACUGGAGAUCGUUCUUGUUGACGAUAGUGCCCCAGAGGUUCCUACCAGGGGUGCCCCUGAGGAGGUGAGGUCUGACCUUGCCAAGGGCGAGGAUGUCAUAGAGAAGGUAGGGGACAAACGUCCUGCCUCCCUCGAAGUGCCAUCCCCGGCCCCAGCUCAAAAGAGAUCCAAGGCUUCUAAGGGAUCAGCUCCAGCUCUCCCUCCCAUUGGGAAAGAGAAAGAAGUCCCUGUGAUACCACUGCUGUCUGCUCCUGAUAACGACAUUCUGAAUGCAAAGGAUAUCACUCAUCAGUCUCCGGCUAGCGUGGUUGCUGAGAUUGUCAAGGAACGGAUGUUCGGUGGCGUCUUGGAGGCUUCAGAUCCGCGCUUGCUUGCUCUCACUGGCCUUUUGGCCAGCUCUACUAGGGAGCAAGCAGCGUUCCGUUCCCGACCUCGCGAGGAGCUCGGAGCUACGAUCAGGGAGAUGCUCCUGAUGGUAAGCUAAGCUACCUCCUUUGCUUUUAUUCUGGUUUUUUUUGUGUUAACAGUCUUUUCCUUUGCUUUAGGUGAUGGGCCUCUUCAUGGAGGUGGAUGCCCGUGAUCACUUGCUUCGGGAGUCUGUGGACCGCCGGAUAGAGGAGGCGCGCCUGGAGGAGAAUUUGUCUGCCACUAGUGAUGCCAGGGGUAACCUUACAGCGGCUCGAGCUCAUACUGAGUUCCUCCAAGCGGAGCUGCAUUCUGCCUUGGAGGCCCUCAAAAGAGCCGACGAGAGGACGGCUGAGGCACAAGAGCAUACUAAGUCCUUGGAGGUAGAGUUGUCUCAUACUCGCAAGGUUCUCAAGGAGUCUGAUGAGAGGGCGGCUGCAGCAGAGAUUCGGAGUGAAGAAGUUUUAAAGCAGCUGUCCUCCCUGGUGGAGACUCUUCGUGAAAGGGAUGAGGCGAUAAGCCAGAAGGAGGCGGUCCAGCGCCAGUAUGAGGCCCUGAAGGCUGAUUUUGAAGGGCUUCAGGUUCACCUAAAUAAGGUGAAUAUUCAAAAGGAGGGGGCCUUGGUUCGGGUGGAGAUCCUUGAGCAGGAGCUGAGCACGAGUUCUGCGCGUAUCAGAGACCUGGCUUCAUCAGCCGAGGAGUCUACGCUUCGUAAUCAACAGCUUAGCCAUGAAGUCAGGGCUGCAGAGCGUAAAUGUUCAGCCCUGCUCAAGGUGGUUAAACAUUCGGAGGAGAAGAUCCAGCGGGAAUGUGAGAGGCGGCUGGAGGAGUAUCAGGAGUCGGAUGAGCUGAAAGGAAAGAUUGAGUAGGCCUGUGAAGCUCACCUCCAAGACUAUAAGGAUUCUUCUGAAUUGAAGGCGGUUAUAGCUGAGACCUGCGAGGUGCAUCUGGACGAGUAUAAAGCCUCCGAGGAGAUGAAGGCUGCUAUUUGGAAAAAAGCCUUUCGUAUGUUUAGAUCUGGCUAUAAUAGGGGUUUAAGGGAAGCCAGACGUGCUCCUGAUACUCCUCUGACAAAACUUCGAGCUAGAGAAAUGGAUUCUGAUGGAGAAGAGGUUCUGUAUGGGGAGGAUGAUUUCCCCUUGCCUAGGGGGACCUCUCGUAUUGCGGCUAGGUCUCCUGGGGAAGAGUCCGAGCAACAUGGGGACAAUAUGGAGGACUUCAGGACUGAAGGCGAAGACCUCGAGCCUGAGACGGGAGGCCCUGACCCAGGGUUGGAGGGUGCCAGAUCUCCUCUGGAUGUAAAUGUGGAUAGAGAUACUAUAGGUGAUGAUAUUCUGAGAGAUGUAAGUCCCUUGAGGACUGUUUUUCCUUCAGAUGUAUCAGAUAAAUAAGUUGUACUAUCUUCUUCUUCUAAUGAGAGUUUACUUUCUUUUACUUGAACUAUUGUUGCUUUUAUUUUCUUCUUGAACUUAUCUUUUCUUAUCGUAAUUGGAGUACUUAACCUUUAUAUUCGACUGAGAUAUUUCACUAAGAAACUUCAGAUCGCAUACCUUUUAAUGGUAAAUAACAGGGCUGAUUGUAGCUGAGGUAUUCUCUGUUUGAUGCUAAAUUUUCCUCGGAUUGCCCCUUUACUUCCGCAAUAUUUAUUACAUUAGUAGUGAGGAAGUAAAUUUCUGUAUUUUAUUUGCGCUCGCAUGGCCUCCCCUUAGGCGAUUUUAUUUUGCCUUUUUUGGUUGUGAGAUCGGCUGUCUGGCGCUUGCCUUUCUGUGUGUUCCACGGGGAGGUCGGCUUUUGUCGUUUUUGCUUCUUGUUUGGGUUGUUCUUGUUAAAUGUCUGCUUAUGACCAAUUGGCUCGAGCUAGGAACGCGCUCUUUUGCCUGUAUCCAUCCUUCUGAAUGUCACAUAUUGCGAAACUAUCCGAGCUAGGAGAUCGGUUCUUUGCUUUUUGCUUUAGGCUUUUAUACCUGCAAUUUGCAGCUCGUCCUAUACUUCUGAGUAUUGUCAGGACGCGUUGCAGUUCGGACCUUUUUCUAGGCUAGCGAACUCAGCACUAGAAGUUGAUUUGUGAGGUUAAUGUUGCGCCGAGCUCGCUUUUUGGAGAUUGGCCUGGGGCUAUGACGCUCUUGGCGAUUUUGCCCCGAGCUCUUCCGGGAGGUCGGAAUUUGAUUUUUCAUCAGUAACUUAGGAUUUAUCUUCUUUUUUUUUUUUUCUUUUUUUCCGGGAGUUCUAGGGGAUCCCGGUCUUCUUUGUUUUCCCGGGAGUUCUAGGGGAUCCCGGUCUUCAUGCUCCGGGAGGUCUUUUAAGAUCCUCACCAGCCGUUUUUAUUUUGUUUUCCCGGGAGUUCUUGGGGAUCCCAGUCUUCUUUGUUUUCCCGGGAGUUCUUGGGGGAUCCCGGUCUUCAUGGUUUUCGUAUUUUGUUUUUCUUAUUGAAAAGUGACAUUCAUAAUAGAAAUAACAUUAUCGUAUAAAGAAUGUCAUUAUUUUAUUCAGUUGUGUUUUUCAAAGUAUAAUAACAUUUUUUUUUUUUUACAAAUGUUUCAAGGGAAAUACCUCUUCAAGUGUUGGAUAUUCCAAGCAUGGGGCUCGGGAUUUCCUUUCAUAUCUUCAAUUCGAUAUACUCCUGGUUUGACUACUUUCGUUACCCGGAAUGGGCCUUCCCAGGUCGGUGCUAGCUUGCCUACCGCCGCUCUUUUUCCCGUAGCCUCCAGGUUUCUCAAGGCUAGGUCCCCCACUUUCAAGUUUCUUUCUCGGACCUUUUGGUUAUAAUAUCGUGCUGCCCGUUGCUGAUAAGCUGCAGUUCGGAUUUGAGCCUCUUCUCUAAUUUCUUCGAGAGCAUCCAGGUUGCUCCUUAUCUUAUCAUCAUUAGUGUUCUCACUGACGAAUUGGACUCGAUGAGUGGGGAUCUGCAACUCCACUGGGACUACCGCCUCUGUGCCGUAGGCAAGUGCAAAAGGUGUUUCUUUAGUGGACGUUCUGGGGGUAGUCCGAAGUGCCCACAGGAUACUGUUGAGCUCUUCUGCCCAGUUUGCUUUUGCUCCAUCCAGCCGCUUCUUUAAUCCCUGGAGGAUAGCCCUGUUAGUAACCUCUGUUUGGCCAUUAGUCUGGGGAUGAGCCACGGAGGAGAAUUUGUGCCAUAUGCCCAUGUUUGCUGUAAAUACUUUGAAAGUACUACAGUCGAACUGUCUGCCGUUGUCUGAGAUAAGCACUCUUGGUAUACCAAAUCUGCAAAUGAUGCUUCCCCAUACGAAGUCUUAUCAUCUUGCGAGCUGUGAUUGUGGCUAUUGCUUCUGCCUCUGGCCAUUUUGAGAAGUAUUCUACAGCCACUACUACGAACUUUUUCUGCCCCGUGGUCUUGGGGAAAGGUCCCAGGAUGUCUAUUCCCCAUUGUGAGAACGGCCAUGGGCUGGAUAUGCUGGCUUGUGGAGUGGCUGGAACCUUGAUGGCGUUAGCGAAUCUUUGGCAUACGUCACACCUUCGGACGAACUCUUCUGCUUCCCUUUUGACGGUGGGCCAGUAGUAUCCUUGCCUGAAUAUUUUAUAGGCUAACGUCUCUGCCCCUUCGUGAGCUCCACAUACUCCCCUGUGUAUCUCUUCCAUCACCCUUAUAGCCUCCUCCGGGCUCACGCACCGGAGCCAUGGACUGGACUUGCCUUUUCUGUACAAGGUCCCCCUUACUGCUUGGUAAUUGGCAGCUCGAGUUGCUAUCUUCUUGGCUUCCUCCUUAUCCUCAGGGAGUUUUCCCUUCUCCAGGUACUCUAGGUAUGGGGUCAUCCAAGUUGGGCUUUGUUCCACCUGCAACACCGUGUUAGUUUUACUAAAAGCAGGCACGAGAACGUGUUGUAUGUAUACUUCAUCAGGGAGCUGUUCUAGCUCUUCUUUGGACAAUCGGCUGAGCAGGUCGGCUUCCUCGUUCUCUUCUCGUGGUAUUCUUUGGAAUUUGAUGGUAACUCCCUGAUCUAUGAACUCGGCCUCUAUUGCUUUUACUUUUGCCAGAUAACUCUGCAUGGUUGGAUCCCUAGCCUGAUACGCCCCAGUAACCUGAUUGACCACCAAUUGUGAGUCGCUAUUUACUUCGAGGUCGGUUGCCCCUACCUCCAUUGCCACCAUCAUUCCGUUUAUUAGGGCUUCAUACUCCGCCGCAUUAUUGGAAGCCUGGAAUUCUAGGCGCAGGGCGUAGCAAACCUUAAAGUCUCCAGGCCCCUUAAGCAUGAUUCCUGCACCGCUGCCUCCAGCGCCUGAAGCCCCGUCUACGUAUAACCUCCAAUUGAACUUUUGGAAAGGUUCUUCCUUCCUCUCCAUUCUCGUUGCUUCGGAGGAUGAUUCCCCUUGUUCCUUACUGAACGUGCAUUCUGCUAUGAAAUCGGCAAGGGCUUGAGAUUUUAUAGCUGUUCGAGGUCGGUACUCCAGGCAGUAUGGGCUAAUCUCGAGGGACCAUGCGAGCAUCCGACCUGAAGUUUCUGGUCUAUGCAGAAUCUUCUUUAAUGGUUGAUCCGUCAUCACUACUCCUUGGUGGCUUUCCAGGUAAACCCUGAACUUCCGGACUGCCAACAAUAGAGCGUAUGCUAUUUUCUCAAUGUUCAUAUAUCUGACCUCGGCAUCUUUAAGCACCUUGCUAACAUAGAAUACAGGCUUCUGCUCCCCUUCUUCCACCCUUACCAAUACGGCACUAACUGCUUGUUCAGAGGCUGCCAGGUAUAUCAGAAGUUCUUCACUUUCUAUGGGGCUACUGAGCACAUGGGGCGAGCUGAGAUAACUUUUGAGCUCUUUGAAGGCUUCACGACAAUCUUCUGUCCAUUCGAAGUUUGGCACUUUCCUCAAUUUUCUGAAGAAUGGUAAACACUUUUCUGCCGACCGUGACAUGAAUCGAUUGAGUGCCACUACUCUCCCUGUCAGUUUCUGGACGUCCCUUACGCAGGUUGGUUCUGACAUAUUUAAUAUGGCCUCUACUUUCUCCGGAUUGGACUCGAUGCCUUUCCCACUCACCAUGUACCCCAGGAAUUUUCCUCCUCUGAUAAAAAAGGCGCACUUUGCCGGAUUCAACUUCAUUCUGUACUGAUCUAAUACUCCAAAUACCUCCUUCAGAUCUGCCACGUGCUGUUGGAAAGUUAGGCUCUUGACCACCAUAUCGUCUACGUAAACUUCUACAUUCCUGCCGAUCUGCUCUUUGAAGAUUUUGUUCAUCAGUCUUUGGUAAGUUGCCCCGGCGUUUUUCAAUCCGAAAGGCAUGGCUUUAUAGCAAUAAGUCCCAUCUUCCGUUAUGAACGAGGUUUUUUCUUCAUCCGACCUAUACAUUGGGAUUUGAUGAUAACCAGACAUUGCAUCCAAGGACGACAUGUAAUCAAAACCGGCCGUAGAGUCGACCAUUUUAUUAAUAUCAGGGAGGGGAUAACAAUCUUUAGGGCAGGCCUUAUUCAGAUCAGUAAAGUCUAUGCACAUCCUAUAUUUGCCAUUGGCUUUUUUGACUAAUACAGGAUUGGCUAACCACUGCGGGUACAUAACUUCUCUAAUAAAGCCUGCCUCCUCUAGCUUCUGUACUUCCUCCUUGGUGGCCUGCUACUUUUCCCUUCCUACUACCCUCUUUUUCUGCUUUAUUGGUCUGGUUUCAGGGAGGACAUUCAUUCUAUGGGUCAUCACCCCGGGGUCAAUUCCGGGCAUGUCCGAGGGUUUCCAGGCGAAGCUUGAUGCAUGACCUCGAAUCAAGGACAUCACCUCGGUUUUCUGCUCCUUGGUGAGGCCGGCGUUGAGACUGAAGGUUUUGUUUGUUUCCGUUUCUGAUAAGGAGAAAGUCUCUAGUUCCCCCACCGAUUCUGUUCUGGCUUCUGUUUUCUCAUCCCGGACCUCCAGGACUUCUGAAUCCAUCUUUUCUGCUGUUAAUCUCGGCUCUGCUACGAUAGCCAGGUACACUGCCCUUACUUUCUCUUGACUUCCCCGAACUGUUCCCACCCCUGCUUCUGUGGGGAAUUUCAUUGCCAAGUGCCUGAUACUGGUGACAGCUUCAAAGUCGAACAGCACAGGUCGUCCCAGAAUCGCGUUGUAGCUCAGAGGGAGUUUAGCCACCAAGAACACCGCAUAAUGGGUGCGAGCCCUCGGGGCCUCUCCCAAAGUAAGGGCUAGCUUUACUUUCCCUUCCACUGUUACUGGUGCUCCUCCAAUCCCUUUAAUCGGCGCUUGAUCCCGAACCAGUUGCUCUUCCGGAAUGCCCAUCUGCUGGAAGACUCAAUAAGGCAACAAAUUUACCUUGCUUCCGUCAUCCACCAAGAUUUUCUUUACCCGAUAAUUAUGAAUAACAACUUCAAUGACAAGGGCGUCAUCGUGAGGCAUCUGAACACCCUGAGCAUCCUCCGAGGAGAAAGUGAUGGUUGUUGAAGAGUGUUCAACAAUUUGCAUGACCUCGGCGUUGCUAGUUUCUCCUUCUCUGCUUCUCUUUUUUUCCCCUUCGGCUCAUCCGACCUCCCGUGCCUCCUACGAUCAUGUUGAUAGUUCCACUGGACCCAUCAUUCACAGCGUUAGCUCCUGUUCUUCUCAGCGUUUGAGCUGCCGGACUGGGUUGAGGUCUCUGUCCCUCCGGUUUCUUUACAAAGUUCUUUAGGUGCCCUCUUUUUAUCAACCUCUCAAUUUCUGCAAUCAACUGGAAACAAUUGUUGGUGUCGUGACCGUGAGUUCGGUGGAACUGACAAUAUUUGUCAGGAUUUCGCUGGUCAGCUUCUGUUUUCAGGGGCAUGGGCCAUUGCAAGAAUUCUUUGUCCUGAACGGCUACGAGCACUUCGGCUCUAGAGGCAUUAAGUGGGGUUGGCUUCUCUGGAACCCAUGAAGGAAGUGGCCUUUGUUCUGAGGACCGAGGAGAAAAAGGUCUUUGGUCCCUUCACUCCCAAGGCUGUCUGUAAGGUUCGGACCUUUUGCCAUGUUUCUUUUCAUGCUUCUCCGGCCUCCUUUCCUCUGGGGCUUUCUCCUUGCCUGUCGUUCCCUUGGCGAAUCGACUUGUCACGAGAGCGUCAUCCUGUCUUAUAUACUUCUCAGCCCUCUUCAUUAGCUCGGCCAGUGAGGUCGGAGGCUUCCUGCUUAAUGAACCGAAAAACUCGGCGGAGGUCAUCCCUUUCUGCAUGGCCUCCACCGCCCUUCCUUCAUCGAGCUCGGGAAUCUGCAAGGCUUCUGUAUUGAAACGAGCUACGUACUCUCUAAGCGAUUCUUCCCGUCUUUGCCUUACUGUUUCCAGAUAACUCGUCUUCCUAUCCGCUGGUGCCCCGGCGAUGAACCGGCUAAUGAAACGAGUGGCUAGGUCUCCAAAACUCCUAAUGCUUCCAGUCUCCAGGCUGUUGAACCACGCUCGCGCUGGUCCUAAAAGUGUCGUUGGGAAUACCUUGCACAUCAAGGCAUCCGAUAAAGUUUGUAAUUCCAUGAAGGUCUUGUAAUUCAUGACAUGCUCCCUUGGGUUACCAGCGCCGUCGUAGGCUGCCAUGGACGGCAUCAUAAACUUCUUAGGGACAGUUUCCUGCUGCACCCACUUCGAGAAAGGCGAAGAAGUGGGCAGAAAGGUUUGGCUUUGAUCUUUCUUUCCCAGCUCGACCAAAAGCUGCUCUCUCAACUUCUGCAGCUUUUGGUCCACAUCUUCCUCUUCCGGCCUGGGUUUUUUCUCCAGGCGAUACUCCUCUUCCUCUGCUUCACUCCUGGUCCACCUGGUUGUCUCGGCGGAAUAGUUGUCGGCCUCCUCAUUUUCUAUCAUCUCCCUCGCCCUUCUUCCGUGGACUCGGGCCUCCGGCUCUUCCUCUUCUCCGGUUCUUCUCUCCCUUACCCCGGCGCCGCGGCUGCUGGUUUGAAGGCGAUCAGGGGUCGGUUAGGGCUCAUUGGUCUGGGGUUCUUCUACUACUGGGAGUGCGUUCACUGGGUGCCAAGGCCCCUUUGCUGCAUUAUCUGCCCCAACCAGUGGGUGGUGCUUUGUAGCUGGAAUGCGAUAGUUUGGAGGUCUUGGUUGGACAAGGCCACUGCGGGCGCGUUCCCUGUCAAGCUUGGCGAGGGGUUGAAAGAAAUGGGUGGUUGGUUAUUGGUAGUCGUAGGACUAGGAAAAGAGAACUGCUGUCCUUCUUGGGCAGAGUUCAAGUCGUUUGGGAUGUUGAGGUUGUUUUCGUUAUGAUUGGCCAUCGUGGAUCUCAGUGGGUUUGGUUAAGAGUGGAACUCGGUGAUGAAAAGAUCUCCUUCGUUUCCCACAGACGGUGCCAAUUGAUGAUCUGAGAUCCAGAGAAAUAGGGUUUUCACAAUGGGCUCUGUAAAACUUAGAAAAAACUUAAAUCUAGAAGAGAGCAUUUCUCCUUUUAUAGGUUUCCUUUUGUCCGCUAGUGACGUGCCGAUAGAACGAAUAUCAGUAGUCCACCUGUCCCUGCCACGCUGAUACGGACGUACAAAGGGAUCAAAUCUCUGCCCCAUGCAUAACGGUCUCUGAUCCUCUCCAGGCUAGGGUAGGCGGGUCUACAAUAUUAUAUAAUUAAUGACUUUUUCUUGUGCCACUGUACAUUUUCUCUUUUCCUUUCCCACUUCCCACCACUCUCCUCUUCCAUUUUCCUUCAUUUAUAUUCCCUACCACCAUUACCACCUCUUCAACAUUGUCACCCUUAUUACCAUCCUUUUUUUUUAUUCUUAAGUUGUCAGAUUUAUCUCUUCUGCCUUAUCUUACACUGAGAUUCAUGAUUUUCAAAGUUCCUACACUUCUGGCAUCAAGCAGGCCUCCAUUCAUAAAUCACAUGUUGAGAGAAUUGAUGGCUACUCUAUCUUCUAGAAUAACAGCUUCAAGGAACACCCCUUAACAAGUCCAUUUUUACUGAUAUUCUUGCAUAACCCACUUCGCCCUCUUCACAGUUUCCCAUCGUGCUACCUAUCUACUCAGCAUCUCUACAUUCCAGAACUUCCAAGGCAACUCUGGGAGUUGUACUUAUAUAGACAUUUUUUACAUUGAUUCCAAGUCAAUUCUCAACAUCAGCUUCCAUUACAUCAAAAUUAAGGGGUUUUUUUUUUUUUUAUCAAAGAUAUAAAGUCUAUUCUCAAAUACUCAUCUCUUUCUCUCCUCAAAUACUCAUCUCUUUCUCUCCUCAAGUUGGAAGUUAAACUAGUAAAUAUUAUCUUUCAUAAAAGAGAUAGAGUUUAGACUACACCUCUUCUAUUUGCUCAUAGCGAAACUCUCAAUUCCUUGAACUCAAUGAUUCAUUUCAAAUAUACUCCUUAUCAACCUAUUUCUUUAUCUCACAUAUUCACUCUACACAUCUAUCGCUCUGAAUAAUCGUAAUUCCUCUCUGGAUGCCUACUCCUAUUCUAAGAGAAUAAACCUGCCCAAUUUUUUUUUAGGCAAAAGACUCAUUUUAGCCCUUUAGUUACUAGCCAAUAGUCAAUUAAGUUCUUAAAGAUUUUUUGGGUCCAAUCAAGCCCCUUAACUUUCAAUUUUGACCUAAUUAUCCUACAUAUUAUAAUUUUAAGCAAAUUAAAUCCAAAUCAAUAAUUGAAACAUAACUUUAUUAAAUAUUCAUCCAUUAAAAUAUUUUAAAAUUUUUAAAAUUGAAAAAUCAAGAACAUUAUCUCCAAAACUGCAGUAACCUCUUACCUUCAAAACUAACCUAAAAAAUCUAGACAUGUUUUCUUAAUUAGCGAUGUAUGGAGAGUCAUGCUUUCAUGUCAUUCAUCUUGGAAGUUGAUACUUAUCGUUUCACCAUAUUUAUCAUUUCACCUUCAUGAACCGCCAUGGAAGAAAGAUCCACAUUGUCAUCAAACAUAAAUUCACAAACCCACUCAACAUCUUGAACUCAACAUCUUGACCAUAGUAUCAUUAGUAUUUUCAACUAACAUGAAAGUAGUUCUUGAGUUUGGAGGGUGUAUAUUGACAGUGGCAUAUAAAGGAAGCUUAAAGAGCACUUCUAAGUCAUUUGUGUUAGCUGAAUUAAGAGGAGAGAUGCUAGAGAUGCAAGUAGAAAGAUAUUGAGUAAUAAUGCUUUGAGAUUGGGUGGGUAAGUAAACGAUGAUAGAGAUGAGGAUGGAAUGAAAUGGGAUUAGAUUUUAUAUAUUCAUUUUUUUUAUAAAUGAUUUAUUUAGUUUUAUUUUAAUUACUUAAAACAUAAAACUAAUAUUUGAUUCCUUAAAAACUUAUUUGACUUUGUUAAUUAACACGGUUAAAUUUAGAGUUAUUAAACUAAAAUUGAAAGUUGAUGGCUCGAUUGGACCUAAAAGUCUUUAAGGUCUUAAAUGAAUAUUAGCAAUAGAGAAAAUGUAUAUGAUUACUAAAACUAUCGAUUUGACAAAAGCGAUAGAAAAACCCUAAUUGCUUAUGUAAUAUCUAAACAAACAACCUUCCGAAGUCAAACUGUCUCUCCUUUUCUUACGAAUCUAAUCAGAAAUAGGGCAUAAAAACCUCUAGUAUGAUUCUUAGUCUGAUUGACGUUUAGAUAUCUCUCAUUCUCAAAGUUAGAUGAAUCACCAUAUUGGCGCUUUGAGUUUGCCCUCCAAAAAAUGUGUUCCUCUAGUUUCAAAAUCUCCACCCUAUUUUUGUGCAACCAAAUUUAACACUUUAGAAAUGUAUGUUUUUUGACAUUGCUCUGAUCCACUCUCUUUAGACAGGUGCUAAUGUGUUUUAUAUGGACAAAGAUAAUAAAGGAAAAUGCUCUUACUUCUCUCUCCGAUUACCAUAAGUAAUUUGGGUAUUAAAGUUUCUCAUUAUAUUGACUUUCACAUAAUCUGUAGGGCUGAACAUUCAAACUACAUGCACUAAAGUGGAAAUUUUAAUAUAUUUCAAAGACUGAACAAUAUUUUACUAUUUUUUUUUAUAUUUUUUAAUUUUUAUAUAUAAAAUAAUAUAAUAAUAACAAUUAUUAUUAUUAUUAUUUAACAUAGCAAAUUAAAUUUGGUCUCUUAUUAUCAUAAUAUCACAUUAUUAUAUGAAAAUAUUUAAUCGAAAUCAUCUAGAAAGAUCAUAAUAAAAUAAAAUUAAGAAAAUACAUUAAUUUAGUUGAUUUUAUUAUUAUAAAUGAAAUAUUUAAAAACUUUUUUAUUAAUAUGUUGAUAUCUGAUAUUCAAUGAAAUUAUCAAUAACAUAUAUUAAAAAAAAUUAUUAUAGCCCAAUUAUAUAUAAAUCAUAAGUAAAGAAAAAAUCAUCCUAAUACAAUAACAAUUGCAAAAUUAAUAUAAUAUAUUUUUAUUUUAUUUAAAAUUAUUAAUUUUCAAUAAUAAAUUAAAUUUGGUGAUUUAUAAUGUGAAAGAUAUGACUAAAGUUAUAAUACUUUAAUAUUUUUAUUUUACAUAAAACUAUGAAAAUUUAAUAAUAAAUUAUAUUUAGACAUUUAUAAUUUAAAAGAUACUAAUAAUAUUUUUAGCAUAUAUAACAUUUAUUGUUAAUUAUUUUAUUUAGAAUUUGAUUUUAAUAUAGUACAAAAUACUAUAUACAAAAUUUUACUCUUAUACUUGUGUUAUGAAAAUCCAUUUCACCUAAAUUAUCCGUUCCAACUAAUUUAAGAAAAUUUUAUCAAGUAUAUUGCAAGAUUAUACAUGUGUUAUACAUAGAGUUACCUGCAAAGUCAGAGAAAUCCAUUUCACCUAACCGGCCUAGAAUCAAAAAUAUAUUUGACAAAGUCCUUAAUUUCAUCUAAAUCCUAUACACGCACACUCUACAACUAAUGUGAGUUCCGAAGGUCCUCAGUGGUUUCAUAAGUCUGAUUUUCAUUGUUAAAGCCAAUCUUCUUUUGCUUCAGUGGUUUCAUAAGUCUGAUUUUCAUUGUUAAAGCCAAUCUUCUUUUGCUUAUAAUUUUUAAACCAACCAGGGUAUCUAUGUGCCCAAAAGUUUUACAAAUGUCACAUAAUCUAUCUUAACUCUAUCUGAAACUCUUUAUAAAAGCUUUACAACUGAUUAAUUCUCUCACUCUCAAGCUAUACUUCAAAAGCACCACAUUCACAAAUAGUUAAAUGAUGCUUUGAAACACCAAGUUCAUCCCAUAGUUUCUUCAAUUUUGUAAAGAAAACAACAACUAAUAUAGAUCCUUGACUGAAACUACUUAAUUCUUUCUUUAAUUUGUAUAUAAGUGGCUUAAAUCUUUCUUCUAAUUUCCUCCCAUAAAUCCUUUGCACUAUAUGCAUACAAAAAACCUCCACUAGAUCCUUAGAGAUGGAAUUCAAUAUCUAACUCACCAUGCUAUCAACUCUCAUCCACUUCUCAAAACCAGUGGAGCCAACAGGAGGAAUUUGCACACAACGAUUUACAAAUCCUAACUUGUCUUUUGCUCUUAAAGCAUCAUAGAUAUACUCCAACUCCAAUAAUUUAGUCCAUUUAAAUGUGCAGAUAUAAAGAUCAUACCUGGAUUAUCUGAGUUUUAAAGAAUCAAAGGAUCUGAAUUAUUUGCAAUUGGUUUCCUACCUCUCAAUAUGUACCCUGUCGAACCCUACCUUCUCUGACAAAACUAACACUUCCAUUUGCCAUGGAUGCAGAAUAAAAAAAAAAAAAAAAGCUUCAAGAAUUACGCAGCAAGCAAAAAGAAAAAUACCAUGUAUAAACAAAAGCUCAAAGAAAAUUUUAUUGAGUAUAUUACAAGGUUUACAACGUGCUAAACACAAAAUCUCGCAUAAUUUACAGCUGAAAGGAGAAAAGAAACAACCAAAGCAACUUUUUUUGCCUAACUUUUCUCAAACAGUAAGAAACAAUGUGUUUCGCCUUCAUAACAACAUACAAACGUAUCACAAAAUGCACCACAUAAAUAACUCAAUAGGUGGUCCAACACUAAAAUAUAUUUGUUAUAUACCAUAUUGACAAAAUGGUCAUACUUGAUUGUAUUAUUAUUAUAUAAUAAAGAUAUAUCAUACAGAAAUGAUUUCCUAAGUAUUUUUCCUUAAUAUACAGCUAUUGAAACUAAUUUACUAUCACACGAUUCAACAAUCUCAACAAAUAAAAUUGGUAGAUUUCUGUAAACCAAGAAACCAAAAAAGAGGAUGUUUGCUUUUCCCUCAAUUCCCAUAACAUUUUUUGUUUUCUAUAAUUUUAGUGACAUUUCAUCCAACCAACAGCUGUAGAAGUAGAGUGAUUCUCUUACCUUGUAUUAUGGGACUGUAUAUCCUGCACCCUGCAUUUAUAGUGUAGUCUAAUUGUUAAAUCAAUUAUCAAUUAAAGCACACUGGUUUAUAAUCAUUAUUUUCAUUAUUAUUAAAAAUUAUAAUAAUUAAGCAAAAAAGAAUUGCUUAUACCUUUACGGUUAGAAAGGAGAAGUUGUAGUCAUAUCCUUGCAAGUACCUACAA
rnacentral:lncRNA from 1 species